rnacentral:lncRNA from 1 species
GGUAAAAUUGUUUAUCAGGUGAAGAUCUGUCUGCCCUAGAAUUUUCAGAUGAAUCGGAUAACCGGUUGUUAAGUUGCUGCCCCUGAAUUGGUAAUUUUAAGGAAAUUUUGCCGUUUUUUUGUUAUUGUUUUGAAUAUUAUUAUAGUUAGAGAUAAACUGUAAACAGCAAUAAUGUACAGCAAAGUAAGACUUAAAAAUAAGUCAACAUGACCAAAAUGGUCAAUUGACCCCCUAAGGAGUUAUUGCCCUUUAUAGUCAAUUUUUAACAAUUUUCAUAAAAUUUCCACUGAAACUACUGGGCUAAGUUCAUUAUAGAUAGAGAUUAUUGUAAGCAGCAAGAAUGUUUAGUAAAGUAAGAUCUACAAACACAUUACCA